UUUUAUUUGAGAGUUUGAUCCUGGCUCAGGAUGAACGCUGGCGGCGUGCCUAACACAUGCAAGUUGAGCGAUUUACUUCGGUAAAGAGCGGCGGACGGGUGAGUAACGCGUGGGUAACCUACCCUGUACACACGGAUAACAUACCGAAAGGUAUGCUAAUACGGGAUAAUAUAUUUGAGAGGCAUCUCUUGAAUAUCAAAGGUGAGCCAGUACAGGAUGGACCCGCGUCUGAUUAGCUAGUUGGUAAGGUAACGGCUUACCAAGGCGACGAUCAGUAGCCGACCUGAGAGGGUGAUCGGCCACAUUGGAACUGAGACACGGUCCAAACUCCUACGGGAGGCAGCAGUGGGGAAUAUUGCACAAUGGGCGAAAGCCUGAUGCAGCAACGCCGCGUGAGUGAUGAAGGCCUUCGGG
rnacentral:rRNA from 1 species